rnacentral:rRNA from 1 species
UACGGGAGUGGCAAGCGUUAUCCGGAAUUAUUGGGCGUAAAGCGUCCGCAGGCGGUCUGUCAAGUCUGCUGUUAAAGCGUGGAGCUUAACUCCAUUUCGGCAGUGGAAACUGACAGACUAGAGUGUGGUAGGGGCAGAGGGAAUUCCCGGUGUAGCGGUGAAAUGCGUAGAUAUCGGGAAGAACACCAGUGGCGAAGGCGCUCUGCUGGGCCAUAACUGACGCUCAUGGACGAAAGCCAGGGGAGCGAAAGGGAUUAGAUACCCCUGUAGUCCUGGCCGUAAACGAUGAACACUAGGUGUCGGGGGAAUCGACCCCCUCGGUGUCGUAGCCAACGCGUUAAGUGUUCCGCCUGGGGAGUACGCACGCAAGUGUGAAACUCAAAGGAAUUGACGGGGGCCCGCACAAGCGGUGGAGUAUGUGGUUUAAUUCGAUGCAACGCGAAGAACCUUACCAGGGUUUGACAUCCUGCGAAUCUCUUGGAAACGAGAGAGUGCCUUCGGGAGCGCAGUGACAGGUGGUGCAUGGCUGUCGUCAGCUCGUGUCGUGAGAUGUUGGGUUAAGUCCCGCAACGAGCGCAACCCACGUCGUUAGUUGCCAGCAUUUAGUUGGGCACUCUAGCGAGACCGCCGGUGAUAAACCGGAGGAAGGUGUGGAUGACGUCAAGUCAUCAUGCCCCUUACAUCCUGGGCUACACACGUACUACAAUGCUACGGACAAAGGGCAGCAAACUCGCGAGAGCUAGCAAAUCCCAUAAACCGUGGCUCAGUUCAGAUCGUAGGCUGCAACUCGCCUACGUGAAGGAGGAAUCGCUAGUAAUCGCAGGUCAGCAUACUGCGGUGAAUACGUUCCCGGGCCU